rnacentral:rRNA from 1 species
UGGGGAAUAUUGGACAAUGGGCGCAAGCCUGAUCCAGCCAUGCCGCGUGAGUGAUGAAGGCCCUAGGGUUGUAAAGCUCUUUCACCGGUGAAGAUAAUGACGGUAACCGGAGAAGAAGCCCCGGCUAACUUCGUGCCAGCAGCCGCGGUAAUACGAAGGGGGCUAGCGUUGUUCGGAUUUACUGGGCGUAAAGCGCACGUAGGCGGACUAUUAAGUCAGGGGUGAAAUCCCGGGGCUCAACCCCGGAACUGCCUUUGAUACUGGUAGUGUUGAGUUGGAGGGAGGUGGGUGGAAUUCCGAGUGUAGAGGUGAAAUUCGUAGAUAUUCGGAGGAACACCAGUGGCGAAGGCGGCUCACUGGCUCGAUACUGACGCUGAGGUGCGAAAGCGUGGGGAGCAAACAGG